ACCAUCAGGAUGUUCCACUAUGCCACACUUACAUGACAUGACAAAAAUUGUAAAUUUGUAGUCCUGAGCAAGCAAUUUUCAAAUUCUCCUUUUAUUGAUGAUCUGGUCAUUGCUUCAACUGAUAAUUCCGACGUUAUGUUUUAAUCUGCAGAUUCCUCCUGCAUGUCAUGACUGAUCUGGCUAACCAAAUUAAGAGAGGAGCUGCUGACAUGAGGUUACACAUGCCCUAUGCUGAUCCAUCAGAGGAGGUCUGCUAAUAAACUGGUCUUAUUUAUGUGGUCUGGAAACAAUAUGAUGAUGAUUAGAAUAACCCAUCGAACUCCACAAGAUGAAGCCAUGGUCUCAGUGUUGCUUGGCAAUUGGUGAGGCUUUCUGAAAGUGUACAGCAAUGUUAGCAUGGGGAAGGUCAACACUGUCAACAAUGAUGUAGUUUUCCAGCCAUGUGCAAAGUGGCACCUUGGUAUCACUGGUGGCAUGCAGGUACAGGGCAAGAUGCAGGACAUCAACAUCUGUGCAAGUGUCAACCAGGAACUUCAUCCCAGGUGGUCAUAGAUGCAGAGCAGUGUAGAUGAAGAGUGGUGGUAUAUAUGCUCUACUAGUGUUAGCUGCUGGUGCUUCUUAUUAUGUUGCGAGCAGUUCAGUAUUUGAUGGCACAGCGUCUUUCUGAAACUUGUAGCUUUUUGCCACCAAGUUCCUUAGACAACUGCUGAAGGAAAGAGCUGGUACUUGAAGAUUGUAGAGAUGAUAAUGUCAGAUUCUUGUGUAAUAAUGCUUGGCAGCAGACUCGCAGCAUUGGUUAACUUCUGUAUUGAUUGUGUGAGAGGUCUUUAAGCGCCAAGAUGAGGAAUGAAGAUAGACGAGUUGGGUGUUCACUGCCAAUUAUAAUCUUUUCUAGAAUUCCAUUUUUUGUCUAAACAAUUAUUCUUUGUUAGAUAUCUGAUUCAAGAUUGAGUAAGACCAAGAUCUUGUGACCUUUUCUGCUUUGCAUCGCUUGGUAGGUUAACUGCCUUCUCUUAUUACCCUCAGCCUGUAGAUAAAAGACAGGUAGUUGUUAGAUCACACAAGCAAUAUGUCUCUUAACAUCUAUUCUCUGUGAUGCAUCAUAUGUCAGGCUUACACAAGCAAUUUUUUUAUUUCUUUUCUUCCUUACUACCAUACAGUUCCAGCACAGUGAGAAUCCUUUCAUGUGCUUCCUCCUAUCUAGUCUGCAGCUACAAUUCUGUAAUCCCCACAAUUGAUUCUAAAAGUAUAACUGUUAUGCACAUCCACAAUAAAGUUUUUCUCUCUUUCCAGUAGCUAUAGUGUUAAGCCACGUCCACAUGGUCGAGCAGUGUUCGUCGGGCACGAAGGUUUUGCCCGUGUACGAUCUGUUUCAGCGGGCAAACCAUCAAACUGUCUGCUCCCGGCGCCAUUAGAGGGCAGUGGAUAGUCCAGGAUAGAGGUCUUCCGUCACUGCCAAACGCUUAAGGCAGAGCCCACGCACACAAGGGACCUUGCACGCAUCCACUCACGCAGCCGACUUCAUUGAGGUGUACGCCAUCCGUCAAGAAGUCCAUGGCUUCCUUCUGAGUAGCAUCCAAGUCAAAGAAGCUGCUGUUGCCUUUCUUGGCCCUCAGCCAGGCCAACUUCAGCUUCAGUACCUCCACCUGGAUCUUGCUGUUCGUCCGUCUACUCAGUUGCUUGUACCGGUCUCUUUCCCUUGGUCGUCUGAUGACGACCACCAGUCACACUCAGGUUCUUGCCUUCAGCAGUUUUCACUGCCUCUACCUCCUUUACUGUCGCUUCUCCAAUUCUA
rnacentral:lncRNA from 1 species